rnacentral:piRNA from 1 species
CAGUACUACAUUGCUAACAGAAUUUGCCCA